AGAGUUUGAUCAUGGCUCAGAUUGAACGCUGGCGGUAGGCUUAACACAUGCAAGUCGAGCGAGAAAGUAUCUUCGGAUAUGAGUAGAGCGGCGGACGGGUGAGUAACGCGUAGGAAUCUACCUAGUAGAAGGGGAUGGCCCGGGGAAACUCGGAUUAAUACCGUAUACCUCCUAAGGGAGAAAGAGGGCCUCUCUUGAAGCUUUCGCUAUUAGAUGAGCCUGCGUAAGAUUAGCUUGUUGGUGAGGUAAUGGCUCACCAAGGCUACGAUCUUUAGCUGGUCUGAGAGGACGAUCAGCCACAUUGGGACUGAGACACGGCCCAGACUCCUACGGGAGGCAGCAGUGGGGAAUAUUGGACAAUGGGCGCAAGCCUGAUCCAGCCAUACCGCGUGUGUGAAGAAGGCCUUCGGGUUGUAAAGCACUUUAAGCAGGGAGAAAAAGUUAUAAGUUAAUACCUUAUAACCGUGAUGUUACCUGCAGAAUAAGCACCGGCUAAUUCCGUGCCAGCAGCCGCGGUAAUACGGAAGGUGCAAGCGUUAAUCGGAAUUACUGGGCGUAAAGCGCGCGUAGGUGGUUUGUUAAGUUGGAUGUGAAAGCCCUGGGCUCAACCUAGGAACUGCAU
rnacentral:rRNA from 1 species